GAUGAACGCUGGCGGCGUGCCUAAUACAUGCAAGUCGAGCGAACAGAUAAGGAGCUUGCUCCUUUGACGUUAGCGGCGGACGGGUGAGUAACACGUGGGUAACCUACCUAUAAGACUGGCAUAACUCCGGGAAACCGGGGCUAAUGCCGGAUAACAUUUUGAACCGCAUGGUUCUACAGUGAAAGGCGGCUUUUCUUUCACUUAUAGAUGGACCCGCGUCGUAUUAGCUAGUUGGGGAGGUAACGGCUCACCACGGCAACGAUGCGUAGCCGACCUGAGAGGGUGAUCGGCCAGACUGGAAGUGAGACAAGGUCCCGACUCCUACGAGGGGCAGCAGUAGGGAAUAUUCCGCAAUGGGCGAAAGACUGACGGAGCAACGCCGCGUGAGUGAUGAAGGUGUUCGGAUCGUAGAACUCUGUUAUUAGGGAAGAACAAAUGCGUAAGUAACUGUGCGCGUCUUGACGGUACCUAAUCAGAAAGCCACGGCUAACUACGUG
rnacentral:rRNA from 1 species